rnacentral:rRNA from 1 species
CUGCAACUCGACUACAUGAAGCUGGAAUCGCUAGUAAUCGUAGAUCAGCAUGCUACGGUGAAUACGUUCCCGGGUCUUGUACACACCGCCCGUCACACCACGAGAGUUUGUAACACCCGAAGCCGGUGGAGUAACCUUUUAGGAGCUAGCCGUCGAAGGUGGGACAAAUGAUUGGGGUGAAGUCGUAACAAGGUAGCCGUAUCGGAAGGUGCGGCUGGAUCACCUCCUUUCUAAGGAUAUAUUCGGAACAUCUUCUUCAGAAGAUGCGGAAUAACGUGACAUAUUGUAUUCAGUUUUGAAUGUUUAUUUAACAUUCAAAAAAAUGGGCCUAUAGCUCAGCUGGUUAGAGCGCACGCCUGAUAAGCGUGAGGUCGGUGGUUCGAGUCCACUUAGGCCCACCAUUAUUUGUACAUUGAAAACUAGAUAAGUAAGUAAAAUAUAGAUUUUACCAAGCAAAACCGAGUGAAUAAAGAGUUUUAAAUAAGCUUGAAUUCAUAAGAAAUAAUCGCUAGUGUUCGAAAGAACACUCACAAGAUUAAUAACGCGUUUCCUGUAGGAUGGAAACAUAGAUUAAGUUAUUAAGGGCGCACGGUGGAUGCCUUGGCACUAGAAGCCGAUGAAGGACGUUACUAACGACGAUAUGCUUUGGGGAGCUGUAAGUAAGCUUUGAUCCAGAGAUUUCCGAAUGGGGAAACCCAGCAUGAGUUAUGUCAUGUUAUCGAUAUGUGAAUACAUAGCAUAUCAGAAGGCACACCCGGAGAACUGAAACAUCUUAGUACCCGGAGGAAGAGAAAGAAAAUUCGAUUCCCUUAGUAGCGGCGAGCGAAACGGGAAGAGCCCAAACCAACAAGCUUGCUUGUUGGGGUUGUAGGACACUCUAUACGGAGUUACAAAGGACGACAUUAGACGAAUCAUCUGGAAAGAUGAAUCAAAGAAGGUAAUAAUCCUGUAGUCGAAAAUGUUGUCUCUCUUGAGUGGAUCCUGAGUACGACGGAGCACGUGAAAUUCCGUCGGAAUCUGGGAGGACCAUCUCCUAAGGCUAAAUACUCUCUAGUGACCGAUAGUGAACCAGUACCGUGAGGGAAAGGUGAAAAGCACCCCGGAAGGGGAGUGAAAUAGAACCUGAAACCGUGUGCUUACAAGUAGUCAGAGCCCGUUAAUGGGUGAUGGCGUGCCUUUUGUAGAAUGAACCGGCGAGUUACGAUUUGAUGCAAGGUUAAGCAGUAAAUGUGGAGCCGUAGCGAAAGCGAGUCUGAAUAGGGCGUUUAGUAUUUGGUCGUAGACCCGAAACCAGGUGAUCUACCCUUGGUCAGGUUGAAGUUCAGGUAACACUGAAUGGAGGACCGAACCGACUUACGUUGAAAAGUGAGCGGAUGAACUGAGGGUAGCGGAGAAAUUCCAAUCGAACCUGGAGAUAGCUGGUUCUCUCCGAAAUAGCUUUAGGGCUAGCCUCAAGUGAUGAUUAUUGGAGGUAGAGCACUGUUUGGACGAGGGGCCCCUCUCGGGUUACCGAAUUCAGACAAACUCCGAAUGCCAAUUAAUUUAACUUGGGAGUCAGAACAUGGGUGAUAAGGUCCGUGUUCGAAAGGGAAACAGCCCAGACCACCAGCUAAGGUCCCAAAAUAUAUGUUAAGUGGAAAAGGAUGUGGCGUUGCCCAGACAACUAGGAUGUUGGCUUAGAAGCAGCCAUCAUUUAAAGAGUGCGUAAUAGCUCACUAGUCGAGUGACACUGCGCCGAAAAUGUACCGGGGCUAAACAUAUUACCGAAGCUGUGGAUUGUCCUUUGGACAAUGGUAGGAGAGCGUUCUAAGGGCGUUGAAGCAUGAUCGUAAGGACAUGUGGAGCGCUUAGAAGUGAGAAUGCCGGUGUGAGUAGCGAAAGACGGGUGAGAAUCCCGUCCACCGAUUGACUAAGGUUUCCAGAGGAAGGCUCGUCCGCUCUGGGUUAGUCGGGUCCUAAGCUGAGGCCGACAGGCGUAGGCGAUGGAUAACAGGUUGAUAUUCCUGUACCACCUAUAAUCGUUUUAAUCGAUGGGGGACGCAGUAGGAUAGGCGAAGCGUGCGAUUGGAUUGCACGUCUAAGCAGUAAGGCUGAGUAUUAGGCAAAUCCGGUACUCGUUAAGGCUGAGCUGUGAUGGGGAGAAGACAUUGUGUCUUCGAGUCGUUGAUUUCACACUGCCGAGAAAAGCCUCUAGAUAGAAAAUAGGUGCCCGUACCGCAAACCGACACAGGUAGUCAAGAUGAGAAUUCUAAGGUGAGCGAGCGAACUCUCGUUAAGGAACUCGGCAAAAUGACCCCGUAACUUCGGGAGAAGGGGUGCUCUUUAGGGUUAACGCCCAGAAGAGCCGCAGUGAAUAGGCCCAAGCGACUGUUUAUCAAAAACACAGGUCUCUGCUAAACCGUAAGGUGAUGUAUAGGGGCUGACGCCUGCCCGGUGCUGGAAGGUUAAGAGGAGUGGUUAGCUUCUGCGAAGCUACGAAUCGAAGCCCCAGUAAACGGCGGCCGUAACUAUAACGGUCCUAAGGUAGCGAAAUUCCUUGUCGGGUAAGUUCCGACCCGCACGAAAGGCGUAACGAUUUGGGCACUGUCUCAACGAGAGACUCGGUGAAAUCAUAGUACCUGUGAAGAUGCAGGUUACCCGCGACAGGACGGAAAGACCCCGUGGAGCUUUACUGUAGCCUGAUAUUGAAAUUCGGCACAGCUUGUACAGGAUAGGUAGGAGCCUUUGAAACGUGAGCGCUAGCUUACGUGGAGGCGCUGGUGGGAUACUACCCUAGCUGUGUUGGCUUUCUAACCCGCACCACUUAUCGUGGUGGGAGACAGUGUCAGGCGGGCAGUUUGACUGGGGCGGUCGCCUCCUAAAAGGUAACGGAGGCGCUCAAAGGUUCCCUCAGAAUGGUUGGAAAUCAUUCAUAGAGUGUAAA